CAGCUUUGACAGCGCCACAGCCAAGCCAGUUCCCCAGGACCUACACUCAGUAUUUCAGCAUCAAGCUGCCACAGCUUUGAACUACAUCUCUGAGCAUCUCCACUUUAUAUUGAUUUAUUUUGUGCGCCUGUUAGCAAGAUGCGUCCUAAGGUGGCUGCUACGUCAGAGAGUGUAGACGUGCUUCGUAGACCGUACACCAUCAGCCCCGUCUCCGUGGCGACCACUUCCAUCACUCAGAAGUCUCCUGACCCUUUUUUCUUCAGUUUCUCCCCUCCUCCAACGUCAUUUAUUUUGUGCUAAUGCUACCCAGGGAUGCAGGCAGUAUUUUAUCCUUCUUAUUGUCCUGUUUCCCUCAUCCUCUUUGGUUCUUCUCCCUUGGACAUGAAUCUGCACAAUCCCAUGGUGUAAAACCCUUAGUCC